UACGGGGGGAGCAAGCGUUGUUCGGAUUUACUGGGCGUAAAGGGCGCGUAGGCGGCCACCGCAAGUCGGUUGUGAAAUCUCUGGGCUUAACCCAGAAAGGUCAACCGAUACUGCGGGGCUAGAGUGCAGAAGGGGCAACUGGAAUUCUCGGUGUAGCGGUGAAAUGCGUAGAUAUCGAGAGGAACACCGGUGGCGAAGGCGGCCUCUGGACAGUGACUGACGCUGGAGACGCGAAAGCGUGGGGAGCAAACAG
rnacentral:rRNA from 1 species